rnacentral:lncRNA from 1 species
GGGGAAUAAUUAGUUACUAUAAAGUCUUCACAAAUUAGUCAUUAAUUUAAAAAUUCUAACCCAUCUACAGGUCAGCAGUAAAACACGAUACCAUUUCUGCCUCUAAAGCUAAAAUUCUGUUAUAAAGUAUUGCCUGAAUUAUAAUAAUUAUAACUAUUAAAAAUCAUAUGCUAAGGACUGAAUAUUUGUGUCCCCACAAAAUUCCUGUGUUGAAAUAAUAACUCCCAUUGUGAUGUAUUAGGAAAUGGGGACUUUGAUAGGUAAUUAGGUCAUAGGGACAGAGCCCUCAAGAAUUAGUUUAGUGUCCUUAUGAAAAGAAACAUGAGUGAGAUGAUAACUUUCUAGACAAAAUGGGAAUACAAGGUGAAGAUAGCCAUCUGCAAACUCUGAUGUGGGCCCUCACCAGACACAGAAUAUUCCUGGCCUUCAUUUUGGACUUUGCAGCCUCUAGAAUUGUAAGAAGAAAAAGUUAG